rnacentral:rRNA from 1 species
UGGGAACCUUCCCUGUAGUACGGAACAGCCCAGGGAAACUUGGAGUAAUACCGUAUACGCCCGAAAGGGGAAAGAUUUAUCGCUAUAGGAUGGGCCCGCGUAGGAUUAGCUAGUUGGUGAGGUAAUGGCUCACCAAGGCGACGAUCCUUAGCUGGUUUGAGAGAACGACCAGCCACACUGGGACUGAGACGCGGCCCAGACUCCUACGGGAGGCAG